CCUACGGGGGGCAGCAGUGGGGAAUAUUGCGCAAUGGGCGAAAGCCUGACGCAGCGACGCCGCGUGAGGGAUGAAGGUCUUCGGAGCGGAAACCUCUGUCAGCAGGGAAGAACGGUCAGUGAGGUAAACAGCAGUGAAUUGACGGUACCGGCAAAGGAAGGACGGGCUAACUCCGUGCCAGCAGCCGCGGUAAGACGGAGGGUGCGAGCGUUAAUCGGAAUUACUGGGAGGAAAGCGCACGUAGGCGGUAUGUCAAGUCAAGGGUGAAAUCCCCGCGCUCAACGUGGGAACUGCCUUUGAACCUGUCAAACUUGAGUGUGUGAGAGGCUAGUGGAAUUCCAUGUGUAGCGGUGACAUCCUUAGAUAUCUGGCGGACCAUCAGUGGCGAAGGCGACUUUCUGGCACAUAACUGACGCUGAGGCGC
rnacentral:rRNA from 1 species